CAAUGCAGCCAUGCAGGCAUUUUAGUCUCAGACUAGAGACUGGAGCCCUUGCUUUGGAGUGGGGUAGAAGCCUUCCAGCCGAAAUGGAGCAGCUAGUGCGGAAAGUGCCCCAGCAAUCAGGCCCUUGUUUGAGGCAAGAGAGAGCUUCCUCCACUAAAUAAGGAUCAAGUAUAUACCUGUCAAGUUUGGAUGCAGCCAGCUGUUACCCAUAAGCAUCACCUACUGGUCUGGAGGUUGAAAGAUAAAACAUAACAAGAAAUCUGAAACAGGUGCACAGUACUGGGGAACAAGGUUAGAGAAAAUUGUAGCUGUCACCAAGAAAACACCAUAACCUUCAUUUUAUGAUAUUACUCACCACGGAUAUUUUGGGAAUGUCAUAAUGCUCAUCUAAGAAGACCUGUGACACUGAAACAAAUGUUUCAAGGAACUGUCUUUUCAACACUGCCUGCUUAAAAAAUCUUGGCUUUUUUCACACUAUUUUAAAAAUAAAGCAGAAAAA